AGAAGUAACUAAUAGAAAUUGUGGCUGCUAACUGUGAUUUGAGUGAAUAAAGUCAUUCUUACUUUU
rnacentral:tRNA from 1 species